rnacentral:rRNA from 1 species
GACGAACGCUGGCGGCGUGCUUAACACAUGCAAGUCGAACGGUGAUCUCGGGGCUUGCUCCGGGUGAUCAGUGGCGAACGGGUGAGUAACACGUGAGUAACCUGCCCCUGGCUCUGGGAU